rnacentral:rRNA from 1 species
GACGAACGCUGGCGGCGUGCCUAAUACAUGCAAGUAGAACGCUGAGGACUGGUGCUUGCACUGGUCUAAGGAGUUGCGAACGGGUGAGUAACGCGUAGGUAACCUACCUCAUAGCGGGGGAUAACAGUUAGAAAUGACUGCUAAUACCGCAUAUGCCUAAGUACCACAUGGUACAAUAGGGAAAGGAGCAAUCCGCUGAUAGAUGGGCUUGCGUCUGAUUAGUUAGUUGGUGGGGUAACGGCCUACCAAGACGACGAUCAGUAGCCGGACUGAGAGGUUGAACGGCCACAUUGGGACUGAGAUACGGCCCAG